UACGGGGGGGGCAAGCGUUGUUCGGAAUUACUGGGCGUAAAGGGCUCGUAGGCGGCCAACUAAGUCAGACGUGAAAUCCCUCGGCUUAACCGGGGAACUGCAUCUGAUACUGGAUGGCUUGAGUUCGGGAGAGGGAUGCGGCAAGUUCCAGGUGAGCGGUGAAAUGCGUAGAUAUCGGAAGGAACAUCAGUGGCGAAAGCGGCAUCCUGGACCAAUAUUGACGCUGAG
rnacentral:rRNA from 1 species